rnacentral:rRNA from 1 species
CGAGUUUGAUCCUGGCUCAGAUUGAACGCUGGCGGAAUGCUUUACACAUGCAAGUCGAACGGUAGAGGGGGCAACCCUUGAGAGUGGCGAACGGGUGAGUAAUAUAUCGGAACGUGCCCAGUCGUGGGGGAUAACGUAGCGAAAGUUACGCUAAUACCGCAUACGAUCUAUGGAUGAAAGCGGGGAUCGCAAGACCUCGCGCGAUUGGAGCGGCCGAUAUCAGAUUAGGUAGUUGGUGAGGUAAAGGCUCACCAAGCCGACGAUCUGUAGCUGGUCUGAGAGGACGACCAGCCACACUGGGACUGAGACACGGCCCAGACUCCUACGGGAGGCAGCAGUGGGGAAUUUUGGACAAUGGGCGCAAGCCUGAUCCAGCAAUGCCGCGUGCAGGAUGAAGGCCUUCGGGUUGUAAACUGCUUUUGUACGGAACGAAACGGUGAGCUCUAAUACAGUUUGCUAAUGACGGUACCGUAAGAAUAAGCACCGGCUAACUACGUG